UGGGGAAUAUUGGACAAUGGGCGCAAGCCUGAUCCAGCCAUGCCGCGUGAGUGAUGAAGGCCCUAGGGUUGUAAAGCUCUUUCACCGGUGAAGAUAAUGACGGUAACCGGAGAAGAAGCCCCGGCUAACUUCGUGCCAGCAGCCGCGGUAAUACGAAGGGGGCUAGCGUUGUUCGGAUUUACUGGGCGUAAAGCGCACGUAGGCGGACUAUUAAGUCAGGGGUGAAAUCCCGGGGCUCAACCCCGGAACUGCCUUUGAUACUGGUAGUCUAGAGUUCGAGAGAGGUGAGUGAAAUUCCGAGUGUAGAGGUGAAAUUCGUAGAUAUUCGGAGGAACACCAGUGGCGAAGGCGGCUCACUGGCUCGAUACUGACGCUGAGGUGCGAAAGCGUGGGGAGCAAACAGG
rnacentral:rRNA from 1 species